GACAGAGGGUGCAACCGUUGUUCGGAAUUACUGGGCGUAAAGCGCGUGUAGGCUGUUUUGCAAGUCGGAUGUGAAAGCCCUGGGCUCAACCUAGGAAGUGCACUCGAAACUGCAGAACUCGAGUCCUGGAGAGGAAGGCGGAAUUCUCGGUGUAGAGGUGAAAUUCGUAGAUAUCGAGAGGAACACCGGUGGCGAAGGCGGCCUUCUGGACAGUGACUGACGCUGAGACGCGAAAGCGUGGGGAGCGAACAGG
rnacentral:rRNA from 1 species